CAACAAUUGGGUGCGCUUCUGGGCAUCUGCCAGUCGCUGGGACAUCCCGGUUGGUGCGGUAUUCUGAUGAUGGAGCUCCACACCCUGCAGCGCAGACACACUGAAAUCCUUCAGCGGGAGCUUUUCGAGGAAAAGUGGGCAAUUAUUUUGAAGAACACCGAGGAAGGGGUCGCAGCUGUCUGAUUGCCAUCGAUGGUUACUUGACCACAACAAAGCGGAUCCUAGCGACAAGUCCGGAUCGAUGACCCAUCCGUCGACCUACUGCAAUGUCACGACAGCUCGGCCUAACUAAGAACCUCGCAGUGCUACGUCAUCAAGAAAAGCCAGGCGGCGAGGGAAACAUCUACAGAGCGUAACCGUAACACCUGUACAUGUGUGUUCCCCUCUGUUCUAGUCGAUUCGGUUCUGAUAUGGCGAUAGUGUCUACACGCCCCUAUCUCAAGUGGCUGGCUUUAUGAUGUGUGGUAAUAUGGUUUCGCUUGUGUAUCGCUGGUAUAUCGCUGAUAUGCCCGUGAUAGAGCUGCGAUGAUUCGGCUUUUUACGGACAGACACAGGCUGAUCGGAAUCUAAACAGCACCAAACAUGAAGAACAGCAAGUCAGCUCAAAUUCACGUACAUUGAGAGAAAAUUUCGCUUCUAAUUGUGAAGAUAGCGAAAUAUUUAUGUAGUUUGGUUGAGACUGCAAAAUGAAUUGGCCAGCGAACUUUUCUAUCGAGACAGUAAACAUCGACCCUGCCUGCACUGUGCAUUCGCUAACCUCUUUCGGUUCUCUCGUCUAAUUAGCAAUGAUUCGCCAUGUUAAUGGCACAGCUGGGUUUCCCACACACACACACUGGCACACACACGCGAGCAAACCGGUUGGCCUUGUCCAACUCA